rnacentral:rRNA from 1 species
UACGUAGGGUGCGAGCGUUGUCCGGAAUUAUUGGGCGUAAAGGGCUCGUAGGCGGUCUGUCGCGUCAGGAGUGAAAACUCGGGGCUUAACCCCGAGCCUGCUUCUGAUACGGGCAGACUAGAGGUAUGCAGGGGAGAACGGAAUUCCUGGUGUAGCGGUGAAAUGCGCAGAUAUCAGGAAGAACACCCGUGGCGAAGGCGGCUCUCUGGGACGGUACUGACGCUGAGACGCGAAAGCGUGGGGAGCGAACAGG